rnacentral:rRNA from 1 species
ACUCCUACGGGAGGCAGCAGUAGGGAAUCUUCCACAAUGGGCGCAAGCCUGAUGGAGCAACACCGCGUGAGUGAAGAAGGGUUUCGGCUCGUAAAGCUCUGUUGUUAAAGAAGAACACGUAUGAGAGUAACUGUUCAUACGUUGACGGUAUUUAACCAGAAAGUCACGGCUAACUACGUGCCAGCAGCCGCGGUAAUACGCAGGUGGCAAGCGUUAUCCGGAUUUAUUGGGCGUAAAGAGAGUGCAGGCGGUUUUCUAAGUCUGAUGUGAAAGCCUUCGGCUUAACCGGAGAAGUGCAUCGGAAACUGGAUAACUUGAGUGCAGAAGAGGUAGUGGAACUCCAUGUGUAGCGGUGGAAUGCGUAGAUAUAUGGAAGAACACCAGUGGCGAAGGCGGCUACCUGGUCUGCAACUGACGCUGAGACUCGAAAGCAU